rnacentral:lncRNA from 1 species
CCCUGUUUGAGCACCUGCAGCACUGCUGGGCUCUGAUGUCCAAAUAACUUCUGGUUCUUUGGAACAAGAGCAGUAAAGAAUGGACAACCUUGGAGCUUGGUUCCAGAACACUGCAAUGUACUUGGACACUGCAAAGGUUUUAACAUGCUUCUGGUUGUCCAAAAAGCCAAUUGCAUCUGUGCCUAUGCAGUCCUUUCCCCCCACCAAUUUGCCAGUGUUCUACCUUGUAACCAGCCCUGCCUCUACAGAUGAUCUUAGAAUAAGGCUGACUCUCCUGGUAGAAAAGUCCUUCCCUUUUAGAAGAAAUGUUAUAGCCAGAUACUGGACAAGUUCUCCCAUUUCUGGAUAAGAGUCCUUGCCCAGGUAUGCCCAGGACUUCUCCACAAGUCAGUGUCAACCUUCCUGUAUUAUUUUAAGAUACAUUUGUAUUAUCACUUGAAACAGUGUUGGCAUUUGGAACUGAGAAGGUAAGAAAGGAUGCUGAAAGGAAAACAUGCACUGAACAAAGAUUUCCACUGAAAAUGACAAGCUUUACCAUUAGAGGAACUAAAGACUUCUGCAAAUUUUAAUUUUUAAUAGACAUAAUUUUAUGGCAAGCAUCCUGUGGAACAAUGAGAAGUUUUAAGGAAAAAAAUUUAGUUACUGCCUGAAUUGUGUAUAUAGCUUGCUGAACUGAAGCCACAGGUAGAGAAACAAUGUACAAUGCUUGGAAGUGACUUCUUCCACAAUUUUAAUGAAAUAAAAUAAAUCAACCUCCUGAGAAAACGAAGUUU